CGCCUUGCCAGCCCGCUCAGAAACUCAAAGGAAUUGACGGGGGCCCGCACAAGCGGUGGAGUAUGUGGUUUAAUUCGAUGCAACGCGAAGAACCUUACCUGGUCUUGACAUCCCGGAGACCCUUAGGAAACUAGGGGGUGCUUCCAUCUGGAAGAAUCUGGAGACAGGUGCUGCAUGGCUGUCGUCAGCUCGUGUCGUGAGAUGUUGGGUUAAGUCCCGCAACGAGCGCAACCCUUGCCUUUAGUUGCCAGCAGUUCGGCUGGGCACUCUAAAGGGACUGCCGGUGUUAAACCGGAGGAAGGUGGGGAUGACGUCAAGUCCUCAUGGCCUUUAUGACCAGGGCUACACACGUACUACAAUGGCCGAUACAAAGGGCAGCGACACUGCGAGGUGAAGCCAAUCCCGUAAAAUCGGUCUCAGUCCGGAUUGGAGUCUGCAACUCGACUCCAUGAAGUUGGAAUCGCUAGUAAUCGCGGAUCAGCAUGCCACGGUGAAUACGUUCCCGGGCCUU
rnacentral:rRNA from 1 species